AUACAGAGCCGUACAAAAACCUCCCUCAGUCAGACUGCACAGUGACUGUACUGAUACAGCUGGGACCUACUGCAGGUGCUGAGGGGGAAGAGACAGUGACAUGGAAGACUGAUCAGUAGAGGAGGACCUGAGCCCUAGGACCAUGCCUCAGGACUACCUGGCAUGAUGACUCCUUGCUGUCCCCAGUCCACCUGGCCGUGCUGCUGCUCCAGUUUCAACUGUUCUGCCUGUGGCUAUGGAAUCCUGACCUGUUCAUCGGACAUGCUACCUGUCCCAGACCUGCUGUUUUCAACUCUCUAGAGACAGCAGGAGUGGUACAGAUACUCCUAAUGAUCGGCUAUGAAAAGCCAUCUGACAUUUACUCCUGAGGUGCUGACUUGCUGCACCCUCGACAACUACUAUGAUUAUUAUUAUUUGACCAUGCUGGUCAUUUAUGAACAUUUGAACAUCUUGGCCUUGUUCUGUUAUAAUCUCCACCUGGCACAGCCAGAAGAGGACUGGCCACACCUAAUAGCCUGGUUCCUCUCUAGGUUUCUUCCUAGGUUUUGGCCUUUCUAGGGAUUUUUUCCUAGCCACCUUGCUUCUACACCUGCAUUGCUUGCUGUUUGGGGUUUUAGGCUGGGUUUCUGUACAGCACUUUGAGAUAUCAGCUGAUGUACGAAGGGCUAUACAAAUACAUUUGAUUUGAUGAGAGUGAGCACAUUCACACACAGAGCACUCUCAGUACCACCUUAAUAGUACUGAAAUACUAGUACACUACAAUAGGGACUGAUAGUACUGAACUAUUAGUAUAACACAAUACUGCCAAAUAAAAACAAAACGCAUUAA